rnacentral:rRNA from 1 species
GCUUAUGGCCAUACCAGCCUGGGUACGCCCGAUCUCGUCUGAUCUCGGAAGCUAAGCAGGGUCGGGCCUGGUUAGUACUUGGAUGGGAGACCGCCUGGGAAUACCAGGUGCUGUAAGGA